CGUGUCCCCCCGGCAGCCAUUUUGGCGGGGGGCUCCCCGCGGUGUCACCCAUUUUGGUGGCGGGUUCCCCUCACUAUUGUCCCCGUGGGCCACCCCUUGAACGUGAAGGAGGAAAAGAGAAGACGUUCCUGCCCUGAGCCUGGUCGCUGGAGCGUUUGGCAGCGCUGGGGCCGUUUAGGACGCUCUGCAGAGGGGCUCGCUGCGUCCCGGCCUUGUCCGGCCGCGGGAGGGACAGCAGUGACCUGCCCCUUGCACCUCAGUUGCAGGGACCCCCCUCCACCAUCUGCACUGUUGGGCUUUGGCCCGACAUGGGGCAUGAGAGCUUCGCAUUGAUUUUUCCUCUCUGCUGUUGCCUGGCAUUUGCACUCCAAGUUGUCAGAGGAGAACUCCCAGCCAAGCGGCCACCCGGCUCCUGAAACACGGCUUCCACCUUGGUUGAGCGCUCAAGGGCUGGAGAGCAGCAAGCAAUGAAGACGUGGUGGGAGUUUUGCAAGGCUGAGGGACACCCACACAGUGAGGCCUUGCAUCCUACAAGUUCUCUUGGAAACUGCUUGGAGCAAUUUGCAGAGUGAGACCCUGACGAUCUCCGCAAGUCUUGUACCAGUGCAAUUCCUAGUCAUCUCAGCUCCCUUUCUGCAGUACUAGCACGCUGUAGCUGCACUCCUCCAAGAGAAAAUACAGUGCCAGCACUGCUGCAGAUUGCUUAUCGUCUCCUGGGACUGCCUGUGUCCUUGGCUGGAGGCAAAAAACGCCACCACGCUCAGCUGCAUAGGAAGGGAGAGCCAGCCAGAGAUGAGACUGCUGUGCUGCUCCGUGAGCUCCCUGGGUUGGUCAAGAAGGCAGCACAAGAGCAGCAGUCUCAGUGACCCAGGAGGAGACAAAUCCAGGCCUCUGCAGGGUUACGCUUGGAUGCUGAUCGGAAGAGGCCAGCAAAGAUCUCCCAGUGAUGUUCACCUCCUCCCGACCACCUUGCAGACUGUCAGGUGCCACUUUCGCACUGCUGUCGGCUGCGGUGACAUUGCCCGUGAAAUAUGGAGCCACAUUUUAGCAGUUGUGUGAGUUUCUGAGAGUUUCUUGGGAAAGAAAAAUCCAAAGAAUAAAUAUCAGCCUUUUUUACUGCAUGCUGCAUAAUAGGAAUAUAACUUAUUGCCAUUGGAGAGCUGAGUGUUUGGCAGCUACCAUAAAUCCCCAAUUCCAAUUGACUCUGUGUGCACUUAAACAAAAGUAAAGGACACACAGCCAAACGCCAAGUGUAAUUGGAAUAGGGAACGGAGUACUUUGAUUAAUCACGGUUUGAAUAUUAACUGGGCAUAAUGCUGAUUUUAUUGUAAAUACAGUCAGAAGCCCCAGCAUGUGUACCUGUCUCCAGCGUACAGCAUCUGAAUAACGAAUGGGCUAAAUGCUGCAGUACUCUUAAUAGUCUGGGGCUGAACUCGUGGUGGCUGGCUCUUCUCCUCGCCCCCUCCGAGAAGGAAGCGCUCAGACCCCAUGGAGGGGUGCAAAUCACAGCUGACUAGCUCAGAGAGGCUACAGGAGCAUUUUUUGCACCACUGUGUGUUUUGUUGCAGAUGCAACGGGUGGUAAGGGGUGCACGGGAGCUCCGUUUCUGGCUGGCUGGUGGUACCUAGCAGCCCCUGAGGUUUCUGCCCCAGCACCCGCGGGAAAGACCUGUGCGCUGGGGCUCGAGGUUACGGGCACAGACUGCUGUGCGUUCCCACGCACACGAUGCAGCACCUCCACCCCAGGCAGGCCCCGUCUCCUGCAGCUUACGGACUGGAUAUGUUCCAGCCUCAACCGUAAUAAAAUCAUGCAACCUGCUAAUUAUGCACCUAGCCUAUCUGCCCACACUGGCAAUUUCGACGUUACCAAAUCGUUAGGCGAAAAUGGCAUUUAAUUAGAAACAUGCAAGCAGAUCUGAUCUUCUUCGCUGUGCUGUUCUUCGAUAGCAUAAAAUCUCAGCCAAACAGCAGCUCUGUGGUACCAUCCAGCCCAGCGGCCUGAAGCUUUUGCAGGACGGAGGCUUGUUUGCUCUCAUCGUGCAGUUGAAAGCGUGGGGAGCUGAAGGACAGAAAAGGCAGGUGGAGCAGGAGUAAAGCAAGCCCCUAAACAGGCAGAAACUGCCUCAAAGCCAAAGCGUCUGGUGCCCAUGGGAACCUUGCUGGGGUCUGGAGUUCUCCUUUACCCAUCGGAAAGGAAAGGAAAAUCAGAUUCAAGUAUCAACAUCUUCCUCAGCCCAGGCCCCUUUCAGGGAGUGGAGCGUGGGACCCCUGAGGCUCACAAGGAGCUCGCACUCCGUCAUUCCCUCGGACGGCUUCAUGGUUAUUAGUGAAGAGCUCUAAUAAUUUUCACAUAGAAAACAGGACUGAGAAAAGAGGCAAAAAUUCUGUUGAAGGCUUGAAAACUAAAAAUUGAACUGAUAAGCUUUUGCAAUCCCAAACACUUUUGGUAUGGCCAACCCUUUAUAGAGCUCGGAUGAAAAUACUCUCUAAACUAGGAACAGAUUUAGAUUAAAACAUCCAGUUGUAAGUGGGCCUGACUUUGCAAAAAGCAAGCAAACAAAGAAGGCAAAAUUCUCGUGGAGAAUCCUUUGCAAGACUAAAAUGGAGUCCCAGGCACAAGAGCAGCCCGCGGUCACCGCGGGGUGGUGGGAACAUGAAUCGCUCCCCCCGCCAAUCACCCCCAGGAAGGCUCCGCGUGCCACGCUGAAAGCCCUGCUCAAGUCAGGCAACUGCAUGCAGCUGCACUGAGUCAGAGGUGGAAAAUUGUACCUUAUUGUAAUCCUGACGGAGCUAAUAUUAGCCGUGAACAGAUUAUUACAGAUCGUGGGCCUUGCAGGAAAGCUGAUGGGAGCUGAAAAACAGCAGGACUUCGUAGAGGCUUAGUCGAGAUUUCACUAUGACAGAGACUAAUGCAAAAACAUUUUUGCAUCCUUAACCGAAGAUGCUGGCAGCACACGCAGGGCACCUUUUGGGUGUUGUUCCCCCGCUGGUUACGAGUGCCAGCGGCUGCGGGAUGACACUAUUUUGCUGGGUGGAAGCACCCAGACAUCCAGGCCUCGGUGCCAGGCUCCAGUCACAGACAGGCCUGGGCUUGUGGGAGUGUGGAUCAUUUGGGGACACUAGGAAAUGAAUCAGGGCUUCUCAUCUCGCGUCACGUGGAGAGCCGGCUCCAUCGGUGCUGCCUGUCCUGCGGAGAGAGCAGGCGGAAAGCUGGCCCGAGCUGGCCUCCAGCAGCAGCAGGGUGUGAUGAUGACGAUGGAGCAAAGCAGAAGAGCUGCCCUGAUGCACUAAGCAGAUCAAACAGCAGGAGCCCAGCGCUUGCCUCGAGAGCUGAAUUAAAUAGCUGGAGUCAAGAUGGUAACUGAAGUUAUCUGUCGUUAGAGAGCUGAGCAGGUUUCCUGAAUCCAUUAGGGCUGCAGAGAUAACUGAUUUCUCAGUUUUUCUGGCAGCGCUGUUAAAAAUCUCAACAAACCUGUCUCCUUCCAGAAACUAUCAAAGCAAGAAAGACUUGUUUUGAUCAAAUCCAACCUGCAAAAGAAAAGCUCUGGCCAAUGAAAAGCUAAAAAGAUUUUUUGUUGGGUCAAAUGGAAUUGCCAUUUAGAUGAAACAUUCAGGGUGUUUUUAAGCACAAGAUGGGCUGUAAUUUCCUAUGAUUUCAUUUUUGGGUGGAUCCCAAGUGCUUUGCUUUGUUUCGUGCUAUGAAACUUUCCAGAAACGUGAAGAAAAUAAGUUAAAAAUGAAAUUACGUUGAGUUUCAAAGCUUCCUUUUGCAUAGAAACCUGCAAAAGCAUUUAUUCAACGUAUCAGAGCAAAGUGUUAUUGCUGAAAGUCCUUUAUCUUCCAUUGCAAUGCAAAUGUUUCACUGAAACAAGCCCUAAUUAUUGUAAUGUUUCAGUCGAGAUGAAUGCAGAGUCUUCUGGUGGAACCGUGUUUUGGAUGGUGGUGAUCAGUCCCUUCCCUCCGCUGCAAGGUGGACGCGCUCGGGACUCGCGUGUCGCUGGGGCAGCGAGCGGAGGGCAGGGGCUGGAGCCUGCGUUGCUCAGUCCUGCUUUUCCCUCACAAUCCUGCCAUCAAAAUGUGGCAAAUGUGUCCUCAGAGCAGGAAGGCCUGGGAGGGCAACUGCCAAACGCUUUCUCAAAUCCAGGUAAAGGAGAAAUUAAAACCUUAGUCUCAGCUUCAGAGAAAGAGCCUAAGGAAUUCAUGGAUGUUUCUAUCACCCCUCUUCGUUACCUGGAUGAGGGUCAGCAUUAUUAAUUAAAGGUCAGCUAGACAGAGUUGAAUGGCCAAUUAUUAUCUACCCGGUAAGAGUCCCGCCAUGGACUGGUUGUUAUAGAAAAGAUCUCAAUAGCUUCAGCAAAUCACGUUGGCAUAUUUUUUAAGCAAGCUAAUAAAGAAUAUUUUCCUUUUAAAAUCCAAAUGAUUCAGAUAGGCAAGAUGACUCCUACUUAGUUUGGAAAGGUAGGUGGGAUCUUCAGGGACAGAAUUUAGCGUGUAGCACCAGCAGCUAUGUGCCUCAUCUCCAAAGCUCUGCCUGUCCCCCAGGACGAGCUGUUAACACCAGCGCCCCGGAGGACUGUCCUCACCUUGCCGAAGUUCAAGCACAGCCUUCGUUCUCAUCCUGAGCUGUUUGCUGGAGUCAGAGCCCAGUGGUCUUGGGGUAUAUUUAAUGAAAACUUGCUAUGAUCAAGCAGUUGGGAAGUUUUUGGAAAAACAGGUUUUCUGAGACAACUAACCAGGCUGCUGAGGCUGUGGGAAAUCAUCCAGCCCAUCCAGCACGGUGCUGCGCAUCCCCAUCACAACCCGCAUGGCAGCCUCUGCCAGCGAGCGAUGCCCCGUCUGCGCCCAGUCCUGCUGUGCUGGUGAGACUGGUGGGGAAACGGACGUGCGACCAUGCUGCCGCGGUGUCUGAGGCGCUGGCUGCAUCCUCCCCUCGCCGCCCACGCGCCGUCCCUCCGCUCGGCCUCGGCCCUGCAAGGAGGAAGCAACGACAGCGCUGGAGGAGCUGCUCGGGAGACGCGGCAGCCUGCGGGAAGGGCUCCUAGGCUUCAUCUGGGGAGCGUAAGGCAGCAAACGACCAACUCCCUUAAUCGGAGGAGAGGACCUCCGGGAAAAACGGGAAAAACGUCACCCUCUGAGCCAGGAAAGGCUGCUGUUAUCAGAGGGCAGGUUCCCGCCGAGCAGUGCGGAGACACCGGGAAGGCUGAGGCUGAUGCUGAGCUAGCAGGGCCGUGCACACGGGUUGCUACAGCGCAAGGCACAACGAGAACGCUGGAGCGCGAGAGGCCUCUGAGAAAGGCUGCCGCAACCCCGGCCCUUGCCGUUGGAGGGGGUUUGGAGCGGAGGAGAAGGCGCCGUGCGGCAGCCGGGAGGCGGAGAGUGCGCUGCUGUGAUUUACCCCACGCAGGGCUCUUCCCCUCCGCAGCCAAGCUGCUGCUGCUGCUGCAAUCUGCAGCCUAAGCAGAACCUAGUCUGCCAGCCAAGAGAAAAGAAAAGGGAAUCAAAACGUACUCUAUAUAUGGAACAUACCGUGUUUAUACCUGAGGCCCCUGAAUCCAAUCUGCUCCAUGCAGUCGUUUUCAGCAAGUAGCAAAGCAUGAGUCUUUUUUUCCACCCGUUUUCAUGCGUGCAGCAGUUUUAAUCUAUGAGCCGCUGCAUCGCAGUCAGGAGGCUCAGAAUUACCCAGAAGUAAUCAUUUGCUCAAGAGCUGCUAGUAAACACCCUGUCACCGUGCUACGCAGUCUCUGCUGCCCAAAUAAAUCAGUUCCUAGGGCAGAUGCUAUGCUGAGCGAUGCAGGGGAGCCUGGGAUGUGGCAGCAAGGCCACCCGACUGGCUCGGCAGUGGAGGGAGCAGGGACAUGUGCCAGCCAGUCUCAGGAGGGAGAAAUGUCCCCUGCAGAGCUGGGGAGAUGCAGGAACACCUGCAUCACGCCUUCCCGCACAAGGAAGCUUCGUGGCAGGUGAAGACUUGGCCUUGCUGUCUUCCUGAAGACUAGGCUUGGACUGUAGGCGGGCUUGAAAUGGUUCCAGGAUCCGAGGACCUCAUCCCUCCUGCCUCCCUGUUUUGCCCGACAGGGCUUGGAUGCACCCCGCUUUCGCGGUAAGGCACCCAGCCGGCUUACCGCAGAGGCCGGGCUUUGCCAGGCCGGGUUUGCAGGGCGAUGCUCUUGCCCGGCCGAGCUGCACGGCUGCGUUCGUUAGCGCCGUGGGGUUCUGGUGCACCCCCAGCACAUCCUCACCCAUCUGCCGGAGCAGGGCUGUGCGGUCACCGGGAGAAAAGCUGAGUUUGUCGGGACGGGGACAAGUGACGUGCAUGAGCCCUGGGAGGCAACGGGGCACAGGAUGCUCUUCCCAGCCAUGGACUGGUCCUUUGGCCAGAAAGCCAACGCUCACUCGCCUGACGCACAUGCUAGCAGAAAGAGUUCCCGUGUCCUGGGCCCCCUCUUCACCCCUCCUCUUCCUCUUCCAUCCGUCUGUGCAAAUUGGGCAAAGGAAAGAAAAAUACAGAAGCACCAGCUUGUUCUUUGGUGAAUGAUUUGAGCAGAAUUGUCUGGAACAAUGUCUGGAAAAAAGGAACAAUGUUUCCCACAACAGCAGCUUUUUAAUAUUAGCGAAAAUAGAGCCAAGUGUGAAUAAUUCAUUCAGAGAGACAUGAGCUCAGUUUUCUUAUGCAAUGGACAGACAAACAGUUGAAUUUUUAUGGCCGUGUUUGUUCAAAACAGCAUGUAGCGAGUGGCCUUUACAUGGGUCCCAGACAGCCCCCGGCUUUGCAUUCAGCGUGUGACAUUGGAGCCUUGCUGCUGGCCUUUGGCUGGAUUGUCCAAAUAAUGGGAUUUUUUCUUUUCUUUUUUCCCUCCCUAAGGAAACAGCUUUCCUCCCAGGAGCAUGUGUAUCAGCUUCUAAAAACUCAGCGUUCUCCAUAGCGUUAUCUUGAGCCCUGGACUGCUCUGAUCUGCAGGGACACUGGUUGUGCCUCUCAUUAAAAAGCAGAACUGGGAAGAAAAGUGUAUGAACUGUGUGCCAAAUUAACAGCAAACCAGAAGGAGAAACAACAGCCUACAAAACCACUCUCUUAGAAGAUCCUAAAUCCAGAAAUGCCCGGCUGAGUGCUGGCUGCGGAGCCGAGCUUGCUCGGGUUUUAGGUGAGACCCUACGAGAGGGGAUUAUUCUUUCCUCUCUCCGUGGCAACCCGCGUGGCUGCAGUUCAAGUGCAGAACUACCAGUGCCUAUGCUUUCCCGGGGAGAAGCAGAAAAUCCGGAGGUGGAGGCUGGAGGCCACAGCCACUGUCCUCGAAACAGCGUCUGAUGGGGACGAAGCCGCCCUGGCCGGCAGCAGGCCGUGGUAGGAACGGGGCAAGCGUGGCAUGAGGCACGCCGGCGAUGCCUGCUCGGUGAUUUCUGCGCAGCGGCAGCAGCUAAACCCGGCGUCUGGGACAGCGGUGCGAGGGGAGGCAGCUCCGUCGCUCGCUGGUCGGAGGAGGGCUGGCUCAGCUCCGGCGUGCGCGUGGGGCUCACCUGGCCGCGGCCCCCACGGAAAGGGAGACGUGGGGAGUCGCCGGUGCCUGUCGCCCACGGCCGCCAGCAUCGUUAUCUUGACAGCAUCGUUACGAGAGCCAGGCCGAGCUGCCCCGAGCAGCGUGUUCUUUUCCUCUGGCUCCUGCUAUUGCUGGAGAAACUUCUCUUUUGGAAAAUCAACAAUACGAGACAAUUUGGCUUUUUUCGUAGCGCACUGGGUGCUGCUGAUGCCUCCCAGUGA